UACGUAGGGGGCAAGCGUUGUCCGGAAUCAUUGGGCGUAAAGCGCGCGUAGGCGGCUCGAUCAGUCUGCUGUGAAAGUCAAAGGCUCAACCUUUGAAAGCCGGUGGAUACUGUCGAGCUAGAGUCCGGAAGAGGCGAGUGGAAUUCCUGGUGUAGCGGUGGAAUGCGCAGAUAUCAGGAGGAACACCGACGGCGAAGGCAGCUCGCUGGGACGGUACUGACGCUAAGGCGCGAAAGCGUGGGGAGCGAACAGG
rnacentral:rRNA from 1 species